rnacentral:misc_RNA from 1 species
GGAAGGAUCAUUAAAGAUUCUGACCUUCGGGUCUAACUCUUCAGCUGUGCGCUUCGGCUGCACGCUGAUAAAACCUUACACACCUGUGCACAUUUCGGUCGCAAUCCUGCAAUGCAGGUUUGCUUCCGCUUUAACAUACAACCACACGUCUUGAAUGUAAAAAACUAUAAAAGUAACAACUUUCAACAACGGAUCUCUUGGCUCUCGCAUCGAUGAAGAACGCAGCGAAAUGCGAUAAGUAAUGUGAAUUGCAGAAUUCAGUGAAUCAUCGAAUCUUUGAACGCAUCUUGCGCCCCUUGGUAUUCCGAGGAGCAUGGCUGUUUCAGUGUCACGUAAACCCUCACACUUGUGAUGUAACAAUUUCAAGUUGUGGACUUGGACUGUGCCGUAGUUGGCUCGUCCUGAAAUACAUUAGCUUGCGCUUAUUAGAGUGCCUGGCAUUGGUGUGAUAAUUAUCUGCGCCUUUGCCUAAUGCCUCUUCCAGAGUGCUGCUUCUAAUCGUCCAUGUGGACAUCAUUUCAAACUUUGGCCUGAAAUCAGGUAGGACUACCCGCUGAACUUAAGCAUAUCAAUAAGCGGAGGAAAAGAAACUAACAAGGAUUCCCCUAGUAACGGCGAGUGAAGCGGGAAGAGCUCAAAUUUAAAAUCUGGUGGUCUUUGGCCAUCCGAGUUGUAAUCUAGAGAGGUGUUUUCGGUGCUGGACCAUGUACAAGUCCCUUGGAACAGGGCGUCAUAGAGGGUGAGAAUCCCGUCCAUGACAUGGACUCCCAGUGCUGUGCGAUACACCUUCAAAGAGUCGAGUUGUUUGGGAAUGCAGCUCAAAAUGGGUGGUAAAUUCCAUCUAAAGCUAAAUACUGGCGAGAGACCGAUAGCGAACAAGUACCGUGAGGGAAAGAUGAAAAGAACUUUGGAAAGAGAGUUAAACAGUACGUGAAAUUGUUGAAAGGGAAACGCUUGAAGUCAGUCGCGUCUUCUGGGACUCAGCCUUGCUUCUGCUUGGUGCAUUUCUCGGUUGAUGGGUCAGCAUCAAUUUCGGGCGCCGGAUAAAGGCGGGAGGAAUGUGGCAACUUCGGUUGUGUUAUAGCCUUCUGUCAUACACGGUGCUUGGGAUUGAGGACUGCAGCGCACGUUGGUUCGCCUUCGAGGGGUUCGCCCACAUUUGCGCUUAGGAUGCUGACAUAAUGGCUUUAAACGACCCGUCUUGAAACACGGACCAAGGAGUCUAACAUGCCUGCGAGUGUUUGGGUGCAAAACCCAUGCGCGUAAUGAAAGUGAAAGGUUGGGACCCUUUAGUGGGGCACCGACGCCCGAUCCUGAAGUUUUCUGACGGAUUUGAGGCAGAGCAUGUAUGUUGGGACCCGAAAGAUGGUGAACUAUGCCUGAAUAGGGCGAAGCCAGAGGAAACUCUGGUGGAGGCUCGUAGCGAUUCUGACGUGCAAAUCGAUCGUCAAAUUUGGGUAUAGGGGCGAAAGACUAAUCGAACCAUCUAGUAGCUGGUUCCUGC